rnacentral:rRNA from 1 species
CCUACGGGUGGCAGCAGUGGGGAAUAUUGGACAAUGGGGGAAACCCUGAUCCAGCGAAGCCGCGUGAGUGAAGAAGUAUCUCGGUACGUAAAGCUCUAUCAGCAGGGAAGAAAAUGACGGUACCUGACUACGAAGCCCCGGCUAACUACGUGCCAGCAGCCGCAGUAAUACGUAGGGGGCAAGCGUUAUCCGGAUUUACUGGGUGUAAAGGGGGCGUAGACGGCAGUGCAAGUCUGGAGUGAAAUGCCGGGGCCCAACCCCGGAACUGCUCUUGAAACUGGGAGGCUGGAGUGCAGGAGAGGUAGGCGGAAUUCCUGGUGUAGCGGUGAAAUGCGUAGAUAUCAGGAGGAACACCGAUGGCGAAGGCGGCUUACUGGACUGUAACUGACGUUGAGGCUCGAAAGCGUGGGGAGCAAACAGGAUUAGAUACCCUUGUAGUC